rnacentral:rRNA from 1 species
UACGUAGGGUGCGAGCGUUGUCCGGAAUUAUUGGGCGUAAAGAGCUCGUAGGCGGUUUGUCACGUCUGCUGUGAAAUCCCGAGGCUCAACCUCGGGCCUGCAGUGGGUACGGGCAGACUGGAGUGCGGUAGGGGAGAAUGGAAUUCCUGGUGUAGCGGUGGAAUGCGCAGAUAUCAGGAGGAACACCGAUGGCGAAGGCGGUUCUCUGGGCCGUAACUGACGCUGAGGAGCGAAAGCGUGGGGAGCGAACAGG